CAGCCGCCGCGGGAAUACAGAGGGUGCGAGCGUUAAUCGGAUUUACUGGGCGUAAAGCGUGCGUAGGCGGCUUUUUAAGUCGGAUGUGAAAUCCCUGAGCUUAACUUAGGAAUUGCAUUCAAUACUGGGAAGCUAGAGUAUGGGAGAGGAUGGUAGAAUUCCAGGUGUAGCGGUGAAAUGCGUAGAGAUCUGGAGGAAUACCGAUGGCGAAGGCAGCCAUCUGGCCUAAUACUGACGCUGAGGUACGAAAGCAUGGGGAGCAAACAGGAUUAGAGACCCCUGUAGUCCCUGUCUCUUAUAC
rnacentral:rRNA from 1 species